rnacentral:rRNA from 1 species
UACGGAAGGCAGCAGUGGGGAAUAUUGCACAAUGGGCGAAAGCCUGAUGCAGCUAUGCCGCGUGUAUGAAGAAGGCCUUAGGGUUGUAAAGUACUUUCAUCGGGGAGGAAAAACAAAACUAAUAAUUUUAUUUCUUGACGUUACCCGAAAAAGAAGCACCGGCUAACUCCGUGCCAGCAGCCGCGGUAAUACGGAGGGUGCUAGCGUUAAUCAGAAUUACUGGGCGUAAAGAGCACGUAGGUGGUUUUUUAAGUCAGAUGUGAAAUCCCUGGGCUUAACCUAGGAACUGCAUUUUGAAACUGAAAUACUAGAGUAUCGUAGAGGGAGGUAGAAUUCUAGGUGUAGCGGUGAAAUGCGUAGAUAUCUGGAGGAAUACCUGUGGCGAAAGCGGCCUCCUAAACGAAUACUGACACUGAGGUGCGAAAGCGUGGGGAGCAAACAGGGAUUAGGAUACC